GAUGAACGCUGGCGGCGUGCCUAAUACAUGCAAGUCGAGCGAACAGACGAGGAGCUUGCUCCUUCGACGUUAGCGGCGGACGGGUGAGUAACACGUAGGUAACCUACCUAUAAGACUGGGAUAACUUCGGGAAACCGGAGCUAAUACCGGAUAAUAUUUCGAACCGCAUGGUUCGAUAGUGAAAGAUGGCUUUGCUAUCACUUAUAGAUGGACCUGCGCCGUAUUAGCUAGUUGGUAAGGUAACGGCUUACCAAGGCAACGAUACGUAGCCGACCUGAGAGGGUGAUCGGCCACACUGGAACUGAGACACGGUCCAGACUCCUACGGGAGGCAGCAGUAGGGAAUCUUCCGCAAUGGGCGAAAGCCUGACGGAGCAACGCCGCGUGAGUGAUGAAGGUCUUCGGAUCGUAAAACUCUGUUAUUAGGGAAGAACAAACGUGUAAGUAACUGUGCACGUCAUGACGGUACCUAAUCAGAAAGCCACGGCUAACUACGUG
rnacentral:rRNA from 1 species